rnacentral:rRNA from 1 species
UCGUGCUUGACGUUCUAACCUAGGUCCAUAAUCUGGAUCGGGGACCGUGUAUGGUGGGUAGUUUGACUGGGGCGGUCUCCUCCUAAAGAGUAACGGAGGAGCUCGAAGGUACGCUCAGCGCGGUCGGACAUCGCGCACUGUGUGCAAAGGCAUAAGCGUGCUUGACUGCAAGAUCGACGGAUCAAGCAGGUAGGAAACUAGGACUUAGUGAUCCGGUGGUUCUGUAUGGAAGGGCCAUCGCUCAACGGAUAAAAGGUACUCCGGGGAUAACAGGCUGAUACCGCCCAAGAGUUCAUAUCGACGGCGGUGUUUGGCACCUCGAUGUCGGCUCAUCACAUCCUGGGGCUGUAGUCGGUCCCAAGGGUAUGGCUGUUCGCCAUUUAAAGUGGUACGCGAGCUGGGUUCAGAACGUCGUGAGACAGUUCGGUCCCUAUCUGCCAUGGGCGUUGGAGAUUUGAGAGGGGCUGCUCCUAGUACGAGAGGACCGGAGUGGACGAACCUCUGGUGUUCCGGUUGUCACGCCAGUGGCAUUGCCGGGUAGCUAUGUUCGGAAGCGAUAACCGCUGAAAGCAUCUAAGCGGGAAGCGCGCCUCAAGAUGAGAUCUCCCGGGGC